rnacentral:rRNA from 1 species
UACGGAGGGUGCUAGCGUUGUUCGGAAUCACUGGGCGUAAAGGGCGUGUAGGCGGUCUGUUAAGUCUGAUGUGAAAUCCCCUCGCUCAACGAGGGAACUGCGUCGGAUACUGGCAGACUUGAGUACCGGAGAGGAAGGUGGAAUUCCACGUGUAGCAGUGAAAUGCGUAGAGAUGUGGAGGAAUACCGAUGGCGAAGGCAGCCUCCUGGGCCAACACUGACGCUCAUGCACGAAAGCGUGGGGAGCAAACAGG